rnacentral:lncRNA from 1 species
CGGGGGGUGGGGGGUGGGGGGGGCUGUACCUGCAGCAUAUGAAGUCCCCAGGCUAGGAGCUGAAUUGGAGCUGCACUGCUAGCCAAGCCACAGCCACAACAAUUCCAGACCCAGGCUGCAUCUGUGAACUACGCUGCAGCUUGUGGCAAUGUCCAAUCCUUAACCCACUGAGUGGGGCCAGGGAUUGAACCCCCUUCCUCACAGACACUAUGUCAGGUUCUUAACCCACUGAGACACAAGGGGGAUUCCUCUUAAAAUCCUUUUAUCACAUAGCCUCAGAAGUUUCAGAACAUUAUGUCCAUCACAUUUAAUGGGUCAAAUGUCAUUAAGAUAAGCCUAGUUUCAAGAAGAAGGAUAUUAAACUUCAACAAAUGAUGGAGGAGAGACAAGGAUAAUACCAAAGAAUAUGCAAAAUAGGAGAUAUAAUUGUGGCCAUUUGGGGAAAAUACAAUCUACCACAUAUGAAAGCUUUGUUUUUCUCCAUAUGCUACUAUAAAAUGACAGUUGCCCAUUUUACUGGUUAACAUCAGAAAUGACAGCAUGAUGAGGUAACUCUUGGUCUCCCUCACCUAAGUGUCCUGUGUCUCUUUUCUUUUGCUACCUUUCCUAGCAGUAGCAUUAUUAAAGCUGCAGGAACACAGACGUGAUCAAGCAUCAAAAACUGUGGUGGUGAAGACAUUUCUGUAUAGAGCUGUGCUGUCCAAUAUUGUAGCCACAUGUGGCUAUUGAACACUUCAAGCGUGACUAAUCCAGAUGUAGUGUAUAUGUGAAAUACAUGCCAGAUUUCAAAGACUUAGUACUAAAAAAGGAAUGCAAAUUAUCUCACUGAUAAUGUUUAUGUUGAUUAUAUGUUGAAAUAUUUUGCAUAUAUUGAACUAAAUAAAAUAUAUCAUUCAAAUUAAUUUCACCUAUUUCUUUUAUUUAUGUGACUACUAGAAAAUUUUAAAUUAUAUAUGUAACUCACAUGUUAUUCUAGUUUGCAUAAUAUUUCUAUUAGAAAACACUGACUCAAAAAUAGGAGUUCCCGUCGUGGCGCAGUGGUUAACGAAUCCGACUAGGAACCAUGAGGUUGCGGGUUCGAUCCCUGCCCUUGCUCAGUGGGUUAAGGAUCCGGCGUUGCCGUGAGCUGUGGUGUAGGUUGCAGAUGCGGCUCGGAUCCUGCAUUGCUGUGGCUCUGGCGUAGGCCGGUGGCUACAGCUCCGAUUGGACCCCUAGCCUGGGAACCUCCAUAUGCCGCGGGAGCGGCCCAAGAAAUGGCAACAACAACAACAACAACAAUAAUGCCGAGGGAGCAGCCCAAGAAAUAGCAACAACAACAACAAAAGACAAAAAAAAAAUAAAAUAAAAAAAUAAAUUAAAUCACACUUUCCAUUGUAUAGCCUACAGCAGUUCAUGGUGUUUAUAUCAUUACACGAUUUUCAGGCAUUUUCAUUACUUUAUGUUAAGUAUAUGUGAGAUAAAUAAGCACAUUCAAAAUCAGUAUUUUCUAUAAAAGUAAUUUCCUGAGAUUCAAAUAUACAAUUCAUAUUUAAUAUAUCUGUUUGUUUAGUACACAAUUGCAGCAAUUCCUUUAACAUAAUAUUUCGAAGUUGCUCACGUAGUUUAUAUGAUCGCUACUAUAACAAAUUACCACUCACUUAAUGACUUAACACAACUUAUUAUCUUACAGUUAUAAAGUCAGAAGUAUAAAAUUCGGCUAAAAUCAAGAUGUCAGCUGAGGGCCAUUCCCAGGAUUUGAAGCCACCCACAUUCCUUGGCUCACAGCCUCUUCCCUCCAAUAUUAAAGCUAUCAGUGGUGAACUGACUCUCGUUCAUGCUUGAAUCUCUCAUCCUUCUUCUAUCACACCUUUUCUCUGAUCUAGCCAAGAAAGAUUCUCUAGUUUUAAGGAUUUAUUUGAUUAGAUUAAGCCUACCCAUUUGAUACAGUAAAAUCUCUCCAUCUCAAAUACGUGUCCUGAAUUACAUCUGCAAAAUCCCUUGUACCAUAUAAAGUACUCACAGGUUCCAGGGAUGAAACUGGAAAUCUGUUAGGGGCCGUUAUCGUGUCUACCAUAGACAGGAAUCAACUUUUUACAGGGAGAUAAAACUCCUAAUAGAGAUAUCCCUGCCAUAUGUUACUAAAAGAAAAGUACUUUUCAAAUGAGGUACAGUGCCUUCAGACUGAAUCAUACUCAUAAUCCAUAGCCACUAUGAUACUAGAAAUUCACUUCAAGUUUGUUGGCGUGUCAAACUAAAAUAGUUGAAAGCUGCUCUGGGACACUAAAGCAAACAACUAACUGAGCAAUAAAGUUGUUUCAGUUAACAACCUUAGUAGAGUUUCUCAGAUACAAACUGUGAUAGCUAUCUCUAAAGGAAAACACUGAGUCAAAUCUAGUUUCAAUUUAUCUACCAGAAGAAAACAAGCAAAUAAAGUCAUGUAAAAAAUUCAAUAAGCUCUUUCAUUAUGGUUACAAGACUUUAAAACACAUUAAAAUUUCUGUUUUUAAAUAAAGGUACCCAAAUAUUAUGGGGCACCUUAUAGAUCGCUAAUAGCCUUUCUUAAUUUUUAAGUAUAGGAGUUCCUAUUGUGGAUCAGUGGGCUAAGGACACAAAGUUUUCUCCGUGAGGUUGCAGGUUUGAUCCCUAGCCUCACUCAGCAGGUUAAGGGUCCAGUGUUGCUGUAGCUGCAGUAUAGAUCACAGAUGCAGUUCAGAUCUGGUAUCACCGUGGCUGUGAUGUAGGCUUCACCUUCAGCUCUGAUUCAGCCCCUAGCCUGGGAACUUCCAUAUGACACAGAUGUGGCCAUAAAAAGAAAAAAAAAUUAUUAAGUGUAAUCAAUAACCAGGCAAAUCAGCUACGCUGAUGUCUGUGUCUGACCCUGAUAAACCUACCUUAGCACAAAAUAAAGCCACGAAAUGACCUUUGAUCCUAAAGUCAUAUCACAAUGGUAUGAUAACUUUUGACUCAGAAACUACCACAAAUUCCUGAGGAAAUCCUGAAUAUGUUCCAACAGUUAAAGGUUCUAGUACUAAUUUCAAUGUGGCAGGGUAUGGGAGGAUGCAAGCAAUUCGGAGAACACCAGCUGGGUGUCCUACAAUUCAGCUUAAUCCUGACACCAUCUACCUACAUUAUCUAUACUAUCUACCUCAUACAUCAGAUUCCACAAGUAAGACUGCAGUCCAACAAAACUACCUCUUUCAACCUAUCUCACUUCAACACCAUUAGCAAGUACCUACACUUCUGACCAACUGACUGUAAAUCACAGGUUCCCACCACCUCCUUCUCAAAUUCAAUUAACUGGUAGAGUGACUCACAGGAAUCAGAGAAACACUUUACUUACUAGAUGACCCGUUAUUAUACAAGACUAUAACUCAAGAACAGACAGAUGGAAGAGGUAAUAGGGCAAGGGAUUCAGAGCUUCCAUGCCCAUGUGAACCACUGUGUCCAAGACCUCAUCAAACCAGAAACCGUCUGAACCCCAUCCUUUUGCAGUUUAAUAGGGGCUUCAUUACAGAGGCAUGACUGGUUGAUUAAAUCAUUGACUAUUGGUGAUGGAACUCAACCUCCAGUUCCUCUCCCCUCCCUUCCAAUCCUCUAAUUAUAUGGUUGGUUCUACUGGCAAUUAGCCCCCAUUCUUAGUUCCAAAUGUUACCUCAUUAACAUAACAAAAGACCUCUUUACUGUUCUCAUCACUUAGGAAAUUCCAAGGGUUUUAGGAGUUCUGUGCCAGAAACAGGACAAAGACCAAAUAUAUAUUUCUUGUUAUAAAUCACAAUAUCACAAAUGGAAAUUGAUCUAUAAAGAAAAACCUACUAAGGUAAUAUUAUCAUUGGCUCACAAUUGAAAGCAUUACAGAAAGAUAGAUUAAAACUGAAAUCUGGUCUGUUUUGAAAGCAAAUAUUUGAAAGAAACCUAUUUGUAAAUUCAUGGUCAGUACUUAAUCUCACAUCCCAUUUUUCCUUCUUUCCCUUUCAUUUCAAUCAAAGUGAACUGUUUAUAUUCCCCACACAAAAUGAACUUUGCUGAUUCCUGCUUCUGUGCCUUUGCACAGGCUGUUACCCCUUUCUGGAAUUCCUACCUUCCCAUGUUUUAAAAGCCAGUAUAAAGCUUUCUCCUCUGUGAUCCCUUCCUUGUUCAAUCCCAAAGUAAUUAACCAAUUCCUACUUGAUGCUCUCAUUGGAUUUAGCAACGACUAUUAUAGCUCUUACUGGGCUCUAUUUCACUUACUUGCUUAUUUCUCUGAUUCCCCUUGACAACCAUGAGAUUGUUCAGACUCUGAAAUCAUGACUUAGCAGAAUGUCUCUAGAAGAAUUAUGUGACUAGAAACUACAACAACACUAAUACAAGUUUAACUCAAUCUUCAUAUUUUAGCUGUAUUUUAUGGUCAAUACAAAAUCUGUUAAUAAAAUAUGUUAAAUUCUAUAAUACAUAUACAGUCAUACAUACAGUCUCUAGGUGACCAUGUAUCUAGGUCUGCUUAGGACAGUCCUAAAUUAUGCUUUUUGUAUAUCAAUUGAGGCCUGUUAAUUAAUUGUCUCACCUUUGUCUCUCAAAAGUAUUCUGAUUUGGAUGAAAAGUUAUAUGGUUACCCUAAUAACUUCUUAAACAUUGUCAAUAGCAAAUUAUACACUAUAGAAGGUCGAAUAUCCUCCCCAUAGUAGCUAGCACAGGAUAAUAUCCCAUUGUUCAAGGCCGAAAAAAAAAAAAAAAAAAAAACCACACCUUUUUAUUUUUUCAGUUAACUGUUAUAGUGGAUUCUGUGGUGUUUCACUCAGAUCUCUUUUUCAACUAGAAAUAUCAACUUCUGAUGGCUCAUAGAUAGCUCUGUCCCUACCCAGGACCUGUCUUUCAGCUGUAGGGAACUGCCUUGUCCAAGGUUACACUGCUCCCAGGGGCGGCCUACCAGUAAUGACUGACAGCUGUAAGGAUAAAAAGAUUCUCCCCUGUCUCAUUUUGAGACCAGUAUAAAAGGCCAGCCUAGCUCCACGGCUCCCCAUAGGAUGGUUAAGACUUCUACUGUAAGUCACCUCCCUCUGUCCAAUCCUGCCUUCUUUACUUCUUUACAUAUAUAAUUGCCAAGAGAAUAUAUCAAUAAACCUUCAUGCCAACUUUGAUCUCUAGGGUAUCUGAUCUAAGACAACGAUCCUCUUCAUUGUGACAUCAUCUCCUAGCGAUUGACUAUCCUGAUCUUUUGUCCAAGUUUCAAUUAACACUGUGUGCUACUUUAUUCCUGUCAUUUCCAUCAUUUAACCCAUCUCUCUUUUUAUGUAACAAGGAGCUUUUAGUGAAAUCCAAUGUUUAAAAACAUACAGCAAAAAUUUUCAAGAACUAUAUGAGCAGUACCUGAACACUGAGGGGUAAAGGAACCCAUUUCUUGGGAGAAGGUCAGUUGAAACACUCCACAGGUGAAUAACUAAACUGCCUCACAAGUAUUAGAAAUCAUGGCUGUCUCUGCUGGAAGGAAAAGAUGAAACCAAAGGACUCAGCUUUCAGGCUCUCUGGCCUAGAGGAUAUAACCUAGAGGGACUUUGUGUAUUUUUCUCUGCAUGGAAUCUAAGUCUUGCCACUUUAGGAUAUUUUCUACUACUUUCUAGUCAUUUUUUAUAUUACACAAAUUAUCUUUUUCUGUUUCUGUGCUCUGGCUAGUCCCCCUCCCCUUUUUAGAAAGUAGUUAUAGCUGUCUACCUUUGUUAUUUUAGCUUUUCUUAUCAAUUUCGAAAUCAUGAUAUGAAGUAGCUUGUACUUCUAUAGGGCUCUGUAUUAACUUUUAAAAGAGAUUAGAACAUGAGAGCACAAAGAGGAGAUCUGGGAGAAGAGUUCAUUCCCUCAACAGAGGAAUCCAGAUGCCACCUUUUCCCCAGUGAGCACUGCAUAAGCUCCUCUUAAAUCCCAAAGUGAUCAUUAUUCUCCAGAUUUAGAUAACUCCAAACUUAGCCUGUCAAGAAAGACUCAGAGUAAUUAUUUAACAAUCAGUCACCCAAGGAACUCAGGAACCUCUAGGAGAGGAAUAAGACUAGACCCCCAAAGCAGCUGAAACAAUAAUACUACUUUAUCUCCAAAACAGUUCAUAGACUAGAUACCUGCCCACUAUCUAGUCCUUAAAACAGGCACAAAAAAAGAAAGCAAGGAAGACAAAACCAAUUUUUGCCCAUUUAACCGAACCCCUGCCAUUUAUUAUUUUUCCCUGCUCCCUAAUUGUUGACUUCUUGGCUCCUUCAUCCCCACUUCAACAACUGUUUCCAGUCUCCUUGAUUUUGACAAUUCCUUUAUAUCUUCUUGGAUUUCAAUCUCAUGUUAUAAUCUGAACUUGGCUCAUCUCUCUGAUUUUGGCAUAUCUACUAGUAUACAAAUCUGUAUAGGAUAUUAUUUGCUUCUCUUCCUCCUUUUCUUCAUUAGCUGAGGUUGUAAAAUUCAGAUAUCUAUAAACUGAAACAUGCAGUCUCCACAUAAUCAACCACUCACAAACUGGCCACCACUACAGCGUAAUGGAAAAAUUUAAUAAUAUAAAAAUGUAAAGCAUCUAAUACAGUGUACUGAAUUCAGCAAUGGUCCAAUUCUAAUAUGCAUUCCAUGAGGAAAAGAAGGGAGGAAGGAAGGAAAGGAGGGAAGAGGGAGGAGGGAGGGAAGAAGGGAGGAAGGAGGGAGGAAGAAAUGAAGGAAGGAGGGAGGAAGAGAGGUAACAAAGAGGAGGAGGGAGGGAGGAAAGGAAGGAAGGAAAGAAGAAGAGGAAAUAGAUUUGGAAGCUGCCUGUACAUUUUUAGAAUUUUAAUUCUAACCUGUCUCAGUAGUCAGAGUCAUUGCAUAUAGAUCAUCGUAACUGCUUUACCUCAUCAUCAUGAGAAAUAAGACUGAAAUUAAUUUCAAAAUGGAUUUUCAGGAGAGAGGUGGAGGCCGCAUAUGCAAGAAAAAAACCCAUAACAUCUCCUUAUUGGCUUUAUUGAAUCU